rnacentral:rRNA from 1 species
UACGUAGGGUGCAAGCGUUGUCCGGAAUUAUUGGGCGUAAAGAGCUCGUAGGCGGUCUGUCGCGCGGCUGUGAAAACUCGGGGCUCAACCCCGAGCCUGCAGUCGAUACGGGCAGACUAGAGUGCUGUAGGGGAGACUGGAAUUCCUGGUGUAGCGGUGAAAUGCGCAGAUAUCAGGAGGAACACCGGUGGCGAAGGCGGGUCUCUGG